UACGGGGGGAGCAAGCGUUGUUCGGAUUUACUGGGCGUAAAGGGCGCGUAGGCGGCUUUGCAAGUGACGGGUGAAAUCCCUCGGCUUAACCGAGGAACUGCCUGUCAAACUGCAUGGCUUGAGACCGGGAGAGGUGAGUGGAAUUCCCAGUGUAGCGGUGAAAUGCGUAGAUAUUGGGAGGAACACCAGUGGCGAAGGCGGCUCACUGGACCGGUACUGACGCUGAUGCGCGAAAGCGUGGGGAGCAAACAGG
rnacentral:rRNA from 1 species